GUGGAGCUUUAAACCUAAGACAAACCAUUCCUAGUAAGCUGUGAUACCAGUAUUAAGACUAGUGGUUUUUGUUGAAGUGUUUUUGGUUGGGGUGACCAUGGGGAAAAACACAACCCCCACGUGGACCGGGGAUAUUAUCCCUAACACUGAGAGCCCACACUCCAAGUAACAGAACUUCUGACCUUUAUGAUCCGGUAUUACCGAUCAACGGACCCAGUUACCCCAGGGAUAACAGCGCAAUCCCCUCUGAGAGCCCCUAUCGACGAGGGGGUU
rnacentral:rRNA from 1 species